UACGGGGGGGGCAAGCGUUGUUCGGAAUUACUGGGCGUAAAGGGCUCGUAGGUGGCCAACUAAGUCGGACGUGAAAUCCCUCGGCUUAACCGGGGAACUGCGUCCGAUACUGGUUGGCUUGAAUUCGGGAGAGGGAUGUGGAAUUCCAGGUGUAGCGGUGAAAUGCGUAGAUAUCUGGAGGAACACCGGUGGCGAAGGCGGCAUCCUGGACCGAGAUUGACGCUGAGGCGCGAAAGCUAGGGGAGCAAACGGG
rnacentral:rRNA from 1 species